rnacentral:lncRNA from 1 species
CCUGCUCUCUUGGCUCUGCUGCUGAGGGUCACAUGGCAGCUGCUCCACCAGCGCUUGCUCCCAGCUCCCAAGAUGCUUCCAGUCUCUUCCUUCCUGGUUGUGGAUGCAGAGCUGGAAACCGGAAAUUCCCUCUGUUGUAAGUCCCCUUCCCCAGGAGCUGUCCUCAGCGGAGCUUGACAGAGCUGAGCCUGAGUUCUGAGAGCAAGGUAGUAUGAGGAGACACUAAGAAGAGAGAAGUGAAUGUCUUGUUACUUGUUCUUCCAUUUUUUUCUGCACCUCAGCACUCAGUGGCCCUCGUUCUUGCCUUCAGAUGAAGAUGUAGAACUCUCAGCUCCUCCUUCACCACGCCUGCCUGGAUGCUGCCAUGUUCCUGCCUUGAUGAUAAUGAACUGAACCUCUGCGCCUGACUGAGUCACUGGAGCAUCUAUCUGCACGCUGCGGUUUCGACUUUCCCCCAAGUGCAUAGCGAGACUCCUGACGUUGCUAUAGCAGUCAAGGAAAAGCCUUCCGCCUCCUCAGGCCUUCUUGC